CCUACGGGUGGCAGCAGUGAGGAAUAUUGGUCAAUGGACGCGAGCCUGAACCAGCCAAGCCGCGUGCGGGAAGACGGCUCUAUGUAUUGUAAACCUCUUUUGUACGGGGACAAACGCGGGGACGCGUACCUGGCUGAGAGUAUCUGACGAAAAAGCAUCGGCUAACUCCGUGCCAGCAGCCGCGGUAAUACGGAGGAUGCGAGCGUUAUCCGGAUUUAUUGGGUUUAAAGGGUGCGCAGGCGGAAUGUUAAGUCAGCGGUAAAAGCCCGGGGCUCAACCUCGGCCAGCCGUUGAAACUGGCGGUCUGGAGUUGGAGAGAAGUACGCGGAAUGCGUGGUGUAGCGGUGAAAUGCAUAGAUAUCGCGCAGAACUCCGAUUGCGAAGGCAGCAUACCGGCGCCAAACUGACGCUGAGGCACGAAAGCGUGGGUAUCGAACAGGAUUAGAUACCCCUGUAGUC
rnacentral:rRNA from 1 species